rnacentral:rRNA from 1 species
CUUAAUGAAUAUAAUUAUAUAUUAAGUCUAACCUGCUCAAUGAUUUAUUUAAAUAGCCGCAGUAUUCUGACUGUGCGAAGGUAGCAUAAUCAUUUGUCUUUUAAUUGAAGGCUUGUAUGAAUGGUUUGAUGAAAGAAUUACUUUCUUUAUGUUAAUUGAUUAAAUUUAAUUUUUAAGUUAAAAAGCUUAAAUGUUUAAAUGGGACGAGAAGACCCUAUAGAAUUUUAUUAUUAUUAUCAAUAUUAUAAUUUUAGCUAUUAUCAAUAUAUAUUAAAGGUUAUAAUAAUUUUGUUGGGGUGAUAGGAAGAUUUAAUUAACUCUUUUAUUUUUUAUUUAUUAAUUAAUAUAUAUUUGAUCCUUUUUUUAGAGAUUAUUAGAUUAAAUUACCUUAGGGAUAACAGCGUAAUUUCUUUGGAGAGUUCCCACCGAUAAGGAAGUUCGCGACCC